AAAUUUACUGAGAAAAGAUGAGUAUUGUGUUUAUCGUCAUAUAGAGAGCCUAUGUUUGCUGAAAAUGGGCUGCCGGUGGCACAAGAAGAUGGUCUUUGAGUGCGUGAAUUUGAGCCCAAGCGUAAAAAUUUGCCGCGUUGUUCCCGUUAAUGAACUGACACAUUGUGUUUGAGGUGGUAGUGGUGACAUUGCCAUAAAAAAGGUGGUACCGUGCAUUCGCGCCCUUUCC
rnacentral:ncRNA from 1 species